UUCUACACUCUUGAUUUUCCAAUCAUAUCUUCCUCAAGGCAAUGUUUCUUUGAUGAACUGGCAAACCAGGUUGUGGAAUCUAUUCAGCCUCUCUGCUCUGCUGGAGUGGUUGAUUUAGUCUGGUAAGUGGCAUAUUCAGCUCCACCAUCUGCUUUCCUGCAAACCAAGGUAUAAAGAUCAUGUCAAAGAUAAAUAUAAUUAAGUACAGAAAUUAAAUUCCAGAAGCCUAUUCAGAAAAUGAACAAUUAAAAAAAUAUAGUAAUGAGCCACCAACCUGGGAAAUAAAUUAUUCUUUUAAAAUAAUUUCAAAUGUUCAACUGGUCUCACUGUAAAAAAAACCUUCCUUUAUCCCUGUCUUAUAUUUUUGAUCCCCUCCAAAACAAGAAAUAGAGCAGUAGCACACAAAGUACUUAGUAACUAUGUCCUCAUUUUGAUGUAGGGCCAAUGGGAAAGACUGGAGACAAACGCAUGCUUUCCUGAUCCCUCCAUUUUAAAGCUGUAGCUCUGGCACAGAACCUUUAAAAAGAUAGUGGUUCUAACUGUUCAAGUAUGUGAUGCCUCAUCUACCCCUCACUGUCAAGAAAAUCAUGUAUUCCACUAAGAGUCUCCUAAAUAACUAAAGUUUACGUCACACUUUUAGUAUAACAAUAGACAUCUUUAUAAAACCUAUUAUUCUAGUCUAGUGCUGGCCAAAGACAGAUGAUGCCAGUCAUACAUGUAAUUUAAAAUUUUCCAGAAGCCACUUUUAAAAACAUAAAAAGGCAAAAAUAAUUUUAUUUUCUUUAACCGAGUAUAACCAAAAUAUUGAGAUGUAUUUUACAUUUUUUUGGCUUAGUCUUUGAAAUCCAGUGUGUGUUUGACACUUGCAGCAUACCUGACAUUGGACUAGCCACUUUGGAAGUCCUUAGCAGUCACGCAUGGCUAUUGAACUGGACAGCACAGCUCUGGGCCCUCCCUGCCUUAGUAAAUUGACUUUAAUAGACAAACGAAAACCAAAUUCGGACCAGUCAUUAUUUACUAGUAUGUGUGCCACAGCAAACACAUUGCCUUUCCAAUGUCACAGCUAAGCAUGUUAAUUCUGGAUACUUUAAUAACCCAUUUAUGCCUAGUGUUCCAUUACUGGAACGCUAAGCAUGUGGAAUUUAUCUCCUACUGCUCAAGGUCAUCGCCAGGGUCUGACUGCAAAAAUUCAAAAAAUUGCAACCUCAGGCGUAAACGGGUUGGUUCUUCUUUGCCGGGGAGGCCAUCAUUAUGGUUCUCUACUGCGUCAUUACUAUACUUAUAAUAUUGCAGUUCCCUAAGGACUGUUGUGAUGACAGACUUAAUGGUUUGGCCUGUCACUGAAUUCUCCAAGACCACUAUAUUUUUCUUUUCUUUUCUUUAUUUUUUUUCCUUUGAGACAGAGUCUUGCUCUGUCACCCAGGCUGGAGUGCAGUGUGGUGUGAUCUUGGCUCACUUGCAACCUCCUCCUCCCAGGUUCAAGCAAUUCUUGUGCCUCAGCCUCCUGAGUAGCUAGGAUUACAGGUGUGCACCACCAUGCCCAGCUAAUGUUUGUAUUUUUAGUAGAAACAGGGUUUCACCAUUUUGGCCAACCUGGUCUCAAACCUUAAGUGAUCCGCCCGCCUCGGCCUCCCAAAGUGCUGGGAUUAUAGGUGUGAGCCACCAGGACUGGCCACCACUAUAUUUUUCUAAGUAAAUAUUUUUUUCCCAUAGUAGUAGAAUCUCUUUCUUUAAAUAAAGUUUUAAAUAAAAAUCCAAUCUAUGCCAAAGAUAAAAGGCAUUAACAUAAAUUUAAAGAAACAUUUAUUGGAUAUAACAAUGAAGCUAUUUUGAAGAUGGCAAAAUAUUAACUACAGCAUUCAUUAAAUUAUCUUCAAAUGUUUACAGAUACCCUGAAGCUCAGAGAGAGUCUAAAAACUAUUUUCCUAGUUGGCUUUAGUCUCAAAAGUGUCCUAAGAGACUAAGAAGAUAUAGUAGGCUUCCCUUAUCCACGGUUUCACUUUGCACGGUUUCAGUUACCCAUAGUCAAAUACGGUCAAAAAUAUUAAAUGGAAAAUUACAGAACUACGUUUUAGAUUGUGUGCCAUUCUGAGUAUCAUGAUGAAAUCUCACACUGUCCCACUCCAUCCCUCCCGGGAUAUAAAUCAUCCCUUCGUCCAGCAUACCCAUGCUGUGGACACUAUGUGCCUGUUACUCAAUAGCUGUCUUGGUUAUCAGAUUGACUGUCACGGUAUCACAGUACCUGUGGUUAGGUAACCCUUAUUUUACUUAGUGGCCUCAGAGCACAAGAGUAGUGAUGCUGGCAUAUUUUUAUAAUUGAUAUUAUUAGUUAUUAGUUAUUGCUGUUAAUCUCCUACUGUGCCUAAUUUAUAAAUUGAAUGAUCAUAGGUAUACAUGCUUAAGAGAAAACAGUAUAUAUAAGGUUUAGUACUCUCCCAGGUUUCAGGCAACCACUAGAGGUUUUGGAAUGUAUCCCCCGUGGAUAAGAAGGAACUACUGUAUAUAGGACUGGGUAGGCCCAGACCGCCAAUUCUGGUUGGUAUGUUUUGUCUUUCCCUUUCCUCCUGUAACCAAAGACAUCACUUUGCUUUUACUAAGAAAUUGUCCUUCCAGCUGGCCUUUGUAGAUCCUGCUCCCAAACUUUUAAUUAUAACCUAGGUUAGGGCCUCACAUUAUAAGAGGUGGGAUAUGUAUCUCCAUCUCUUCCCAGCUCUGCGGACACACAUUCUAGCACAAACAGAGGAAUAAUUCCAGUUCAGUUCAAAGACAGAAGGUGGACAGGGUCCAAGGGUUUAAGGCAAUGCAAUCCAUUACUUUUCAAAAUCUGAGGACUUUUUUGUUUUCCUUUGAUAUGCUAAAAAUAUCCCAGCCCAGGGAAACUGAUAAAAUGUCUUUACAGAGUUAUUUAUACGUUGGAAUUGAAUAAAUUUACAAAACUAAGUAAAAUAUAUUUUGGUUUCUAUAAAAGGGCAUUUUUCCUCCUUGCACUUAAAAUGAGUUGAUUCUGUGGUUAUUUCCCAGUUGGCUCACAAAUUCUUACUUUUGGAUUCACAGCUGUUUUACAAGGUAGAAGUGAGAUCGUCUGAUAAAAGGACUAGGGGAACAUAACUCUAUUUAAAGCCUACGUCAAAGCCUGUCAGUACACAUUAUGUUUUCAAAGGGAAUGGUAUAAGAACACAUCAAUAAUUUAGCAAAGGGAACAGGAAUGUAAAUUUCCUCUUUGAUAUUUACUGCCAAUAUCUCUUUGCUCAGGUUAUUGAUAUCUAUAUAUCCACUGAAUAUUUUUCAAAAGAAAGGACAUCUGAAAAUAAACAACAGAAAACAGAUACCUUUUAAUGAUAAAAGCAAACCUUUCUCUCAUCUCUCCUUCUCAGAGAGAAGUAAAUUUUACUUCUCUGUGGGUCUCAUCAGUUAGGUAUGUGCUGAACAGAGGAAGAGAAAACGGCUGAAUAAAAUAGUGACUUCAAACCAAAAAGAAACGAGUAGCAUAACAAGUGGGAUAAAAUCCAGUGUAAGAGAGUAGCAGGAAAGCUGAGAAUUAGGUUCAUAACUUAAGACUUUCUCAUUCUCACUGAAGGACUGGAAACAUGAAUUUUGUGCUAGAAGCUACUUGAACUUUGAAGUCAUAUAGAUCAUCCAGCAGAUAAACAGACUGGAAAUUCCUGUUUAAUAUGUUUAUCUUUGAAGCCAUUUUGCAUGAAGUGAUUCAUGUCAAAAUGUUUUCAAGGAAUAACAGAUUGUUGGGGAGAAAUGGUACCGGUCUCUAGCACUCUUGAUUUUUUUUUUUUUUUUUUUUUUUUUUUUCAAGACACAGCAUCUCACUAUGUUGCCCAGGCUGAUCUCAAACUCCUGAGCUCAAGCCAUCGGCCUGCCUCGGCCUCACAAAGUUGCUGGGAUUACAGGCGUGAGCCACCAAACCCGGCCUAACACCCUCAAUUUUGAGGGAAUACAUUGAGUAUGUAUCAAAUCCAUGUAAUAUUAUCUAGAAAUCAACUUUAUGACAUCAUGUAUUUUCAGAUGUCUCUGGACUUUUACAUUAAGAAGUGUCUUCCUGUGGCACAUCUGUUUUCAACCUGAGGAGACAUCGUUGCAAAACUUUGUAUUACAUGGCGUCUCAUAUUUCUGAGAUGGAUCUAAUUUUGUAAGGAUGCUUUCUAAACUAAUUACAAAACAUUUUUGUAGUUGCUCAAAAAUUUUUGAAGGGUUAAAUGCUCAAGAAUUUAAGGGCCAACUAGAAAAACAUUUAAGUUAAUUUGAUCCUUUUUUUGCCCCAUGUCACUAUAUGCCCCAAUUACCUGAACUGACCACUAUUUUUAAUAAAGUAAUUGGGUCAGUCAAUAUUAAUGUAACAUUAAAAGUCAGUUUAGGUUAUACAAAAUAAUAAAUACCAUUAAUGGAAAAAAGGAAAAACUAUUUGUCACAGGUAAUAAAUAUAUAAAUUAUGUAAAUAACUUUCACUAACUUAGCCAAACUGUCACUUAUCCAGGGAUGCUUAACUAGAGUUAAAAAAUAAUCAUGCAUUUAAAAAAAACCAUUACUUAAAUAUUUAUGUAAACAAAAGGCAUCUGUUGUUCAGAAGCACAGUCAUGCCAUGCAAUACAGGACUGAAGCAGUAGCAAAGACAGGGCUGUGGCUUCCAAGACUAAAAAGUAUGGUAGAAGAAUUAGUAAAGAAAGGAAAUGGGAAGGGAAAAGGAGGGAGCAUGUGGAUGGGACCUGUUUCGGACCCACUGGUAUCCUAUACUGUUCUCAGCUGAGAGCUAUGAAACAGAAAAGUGGCAGAAUACUUUAACCUUUUGCCCACUUUUUAUCAAGUAAUGUAAAUGAUGUUGGAUGAUCUUAAAAUGACUCCUUACACUAUUUUUGUAUUUUGAGAUGAAGGCUGCAGAAGAGUAAUUACGUUCCCAAAUCACCAUAAAUACCAGUUUACAAGAAAUACAUUUUGUGCCAGGCUUUAACAACAAUUUGAGAUUAUUUGUGCCUGCUAGCCUGCUUCCAGUUACCCCCGGAAGUGGAGAAGUGCCUCCAGACAUUUUAUAGUCUUUAUAAGAAGUUUCUAAGGCCACAACAGCCAAUCUGGGGGGACAAGAUUAUGGACAUUAAACAGUGCAAAGAAAAUAAUGGAAAUCUUUGGGGUUUUUUUGUGUUUUUUGUUUUUGAGAUGGAGUCUCACUCCGUCACCCAGGCUGGAGUGCAGUGGCGCAAUCUCGCUCACUGCAAGCUCCGCCUCCGGGGUUCACGCCAUUCUCCUGCCUCAGCCUCCCAGAGUAGCUGGGACUACAGGCG
rnacentral:lncRNA from 10 species